rnacentral:rRNA from 1 species
GACGAACGCUGGCGGCGUGCUUAACACAUGCAAGUCGAACGGAAAGGCCCUGCUUUUGUGGGGUGCUCGAGUGGCGAACGGGUGAGUAACACGUGAGUAACCUGCCCUUGACUUUGGGAUAACUUCAGGAAACUGGGGCUAAUACCGGAUAGGAGCUCCUGCUGCAUGGUGGGGGUUGGAAAGUUUCGGCGGUUGGGGAUGGACUCGCGGCUUAUCAGCUUGUUGGUGGGGUAGUGGCUUACCAAGGCUUUGACGGGUAGCCCGCCUGAGAGGGUGAACGGACACAUUGGGACUGAGAUACGGAACAGACUCCUACGGGAGGCAGAAGUGGGGAAUAUUGCACAAUGGGCGGAAGCCUGAUGUAGGAGCGCCGCGUGCGGGAUGACGGACUUCGGGUUGUAAAACGCUUUCGCCUGUGACGAAGCGUGAGUGACGGUAAUGGGUAAAGAAGCACCGGCUAACUACGUG